rnacentral:rRNA from 1 species
CAGCCGCCGCGGUAAUACAGAGGGUGCAAGCGUUAAUCGGAAUUACUGGGCGUAAAGCGUGCGUAGGUGGUGGUUUAAGUCCGUUGUGAAAGCCCUGGGCUCAACCUGGGAAUUGCAGUGGAUACUGGGUCACUAGAGUGUGGUAGAGGAUAGUGGAAUUUCCGGUGUAGCAGUGAAAUGCGUAGAGAUCGGAAGGAACAUCUGUGGCGAAGGCGACUAUCUGGGCCAACACUGACACUGAGGCACGAAAGCGUGGGGAGCAAACAGGAUUAGAUACCCCCGUAGUCCCUGUCUCUUAUAC